GUGUGAAGUUUCUCGCCAAAAAUAUUUGGCGACUUGAGGGCACAUAUCAGAGUAGUUCCUAAAAAACUGCCAAUCCACACAAAACCGGAGAACAUAAUUAAAGAAUUAAAAGAUGUGGCGUUGGUAGUAGAUUUAUGGCGCAAAGCUAUAAAAGGCCAGAUGCGUUAAACACAGGAUUCGUUCUUCAACACAAAAACUAAAGUAAAAAUUUUAGAUAAAGAAAAUUGUCUAAAGAUAACAGCUCACUUAUAAAAUCGAGGUAAGUAAAAAGAUAUUGAAAUGAUGGGAUGAAAAUGCUGAUUAUGAUUCAGAUAAUGAGAUAUGCAGUAUAGAUAUAAAAUCCUAAAACAUCCGAUUCAUUAAAAUUCUAACACAAAAUCUUGAGACAAAAAUCAAACUAAAUAAUAGAAACCUCUUUCUUUCUGGUAGUAAAACAAACUGGUAUUGACCUCUCUUCCGAUUAAACGGUCGUGAGGCAGGUCGCAGCUUUAAAAUACUUCUCACGAAGACUAUUAAAAUACGGACACUCAAUUAAAAUGUGAUGGACCGAGAGACAAGCAUCACAAUUUGCAAACAGGCUCGUUCUCAGCUUUCAGAAGGUAGUUAUGUGUCACUCUAGUGUGACCAAUUCUAAGGAGAAUCAAAAGUACUUCCUCCUUACGAUUGCUAGUAGUAUCCCAAUGCUCUAUUUUAGGCCAUUCACCCUUCUCAACUUGUUAUGGAGUUGAAUGUCCCAAAGUUGCCAUUUUAUUCUGAUCUUCUCUAUAAUGACACAACAGAUAUUUCUAAAAGGGAUGAGGCGGCCGGACAUUUCUACAGCAGAUUUCACUGUGAUGUCCGCCAGCUCAUUGCCUUUUAUUCCUGUAUGUCGUCCAGAAACCCAGCAGUACAGAAUUUUAUAUCCACAACUUGUUAAUUUAAUAUUGAACUUGAGUACAUCCACUAUCGCAGGAUUCUUGGUGCUAGAAAAGGAUUCUAAAGCUUUCAAUGCACUGUAGGAGUCUGUACAUAUGAUUUUUCCAUGGUGCAGCAUGGAGAUGUACAAAAGCGCAUAAUAUAUGGCAGUCAUAUAGUCAUUACUGUGUCUUAAUAUGGCAGUCAGUUCGGAAGUUAAGACCGAGGAAGCAUUGUGUGAACAUCUGCCCUCCAUGUGGUCACCAAUUAUAAAUGACAUCCGAACAUGACAAGCUGACUUAGAUCCAUCCGUAUACAUAGAAAGAUAACUGCUGUAACAAUGCCUGUGCUCAUCAAAAAUUGUCUGUAGAUGCUCUCAUUAGUAGUUGUUUUGACGUAACUGUGGAUAAUAUCAAGAAAUUGGAUUUGUGCAUUUUCCCAAGGUGCGAUUUCAAAAUCCUGUACUGCUUGUGGGGACAUAUCAGACAGGGACAAUUCUUCAAUAAGGAUACGAAGUCUCGCAGGAAAAGAAGGCACACAGGAUGGACAUGCCUCAAAUAAAACGUCCCAUCUAUUUUUAAGUAAACACAAUUUAUCAGGAUGGUCAGGUUGAGAUAAAAUAUUAAAAUACUGUAAAAGAGGCAACUCCUCACGCCUCAAACGGAGUGAUGGUUCAUAACAGUCAACAUAAAGGCUCUGGACAGGAGACAUCCUGAAGACUCCAGAACAAAUCUGCAGAGCCUGAUGAUGAAAAGGAUCUAGUUUUUACAACACUGAAGACCGAGCGGAUCUGCCAACAGCCGAGCCGUAGUCUAGUCUUGAGUGAACAAGAGCUGUGUAAAUACGAAGCAUGGAUCAACACUCUGCACCCCAGGAGGUGUUUGACAGGACUUUUAAAUAUUUAAAAUUUUUGUACACUUCUUUCUCAAGUUUAGGACAUGAGGAAGGAAAGUCAAUUUUUGGUCGAACAUCACCCCUAAAAAUUUUACUUCAGAUGCUACUGGAAUCACAGACCCAUUAAGGUAUAAUUUAGGCUCAGGAUGGAGACCUCGCUUUGUACAAAAGUGCACGGACACAGUCUUCUGUUUUGAAAACGUAAAUCCUUGUGUGUUCGCCCAUUCCUGGAUCUGGAGCUGCCUCUCUACACGUCUCAUAUUCCUGCCUCGACAGCUAAUUUGUAGAUCAUCAACAUAUAAAGAUCUGAAAUGGUGGGAGGAAGUUGUUUUUAUACAGAAUUUAUUUUUAGGCUUAACAGAGUUACACCAAGCACACAGCCUUGAGGCACACCCUCUUCCUGUUUGAAAACUUCUGACUUGAAAAAUUCUAGCUACCCAAAAAAUUCUGAAUGAAAAAUGGUAGGUUGCCAGGCGAGCCACAAUCAUAAAGAUCCUGAAGUGUACUGUAUCCCAAAAAAGAUUACAACAGAAAUUCAAUUUAAUGAAGUUCACUGAAGAAUACUUUUCAAUACAAUAGCACUGUGGAUACUGUCAAUGAAGGUAAGCGAUGUACAUUUGAGACAAUAAAGCAGCUUUAAACUGGAUUUGAAAGACAUUUCAUUUCAUUUGACUAAAAACAUAUCCAUACUGCUCCAUUUAUUACUUCCUUAGAUCCAGUGUUCACUUUUGUAUUCGCAUGAGGUGUUUCAAGCAUUUAUGUUUCAAACAUACAUUGUUUUGUUAUAAGUGUCCCAAGUAAGGGGGUUCAUUUCCCUAUAUUUCAAUUUAAUACUCAGAAAAUGUUCAAUUUUUGAAGUAUUUACCAUCUUUAUAAAUACUGAGCUUUCUUUCACAGUUUUACAUAAAUACUUUCAAAAGACAAGAAACUUCAAAUUCUUCACACGAUUUUGCUUCAAUGUAAAUUUUCUAAGCGCAAACCACUAUCAGAAUAGAUAUUUAGAACCUGGCAUAUAUCAGUUUUUUUUAAUUGAACAUAUUUCUGAUCCUACAAAAACAUUUUCACGACCAUAUCAUGCAGCAGUAACACAAUUCGAUUCAACCACAUUUUCAAAAUCCAGGAAUAUUUACACACAUAGGGCAUAGUCUCGCGAGUUUAAUCCAAGUAGUACUCAAAAUAAUCACAAGAUUAGGCGAACUGUGGGUCACCUGUGUAGGCGCCUAGGCUUUGUAGAAUUACCCUGCGUCGAGCUUGCUGUAAAAGAUAACCAUAGCAUGACACGUGAAAAUUGCUAUCCGGGAGAAACACAGGUCAAAAGUAUGUAAUACGAUAAACAUUUCACAAACUUCAAGUGUACCAACGGAGGUAACAAUAACAAAAAAAUGGUUACAAUCAUCCACGCCGCUCUUCCCCGGCUGUGUCUACCCGUACGACGUCGGACGUUUAGCUGAAACAUGGUAAAAAUGCUAAACGUACGACUAGUUGCGCAGAGACACUUUCGUGAUUUCUGCGCAUUCCGACCAGUCGUAAAGAGAUGUUUGUUUAUAUUUGUGUUGAUUAUCGGAAGGGUGAAUUGCUUUUCCGUGUAGUGCUAGAAUAUCAAGAAAAAGUUAUUUUUUAUUUCGUUUGAUGACUAAUUACUAUCAUUCUUUGAUAGAUAUCUAAAACAUUAUAUAAAAUAAAGAACUUUGAAUAUAUCUGAA